GCCUUCGUGGUGUAGUGGUCAGCACACUCGGCGUGUGUUCGAGAGGUCCGCAGUUCGAGUCCCGGCGAGGGCA
rfam:Stegodyphus mimosarum contig119890, whole genome shotgun sequence.